CUGAAUCAGGGAAGAACCCUAUUUAAUGUGCAAGAAGUAGACUUUAAGUCUUGUUUUCAUAUUAAAAAAAAAUAAAUAAAUGAGAUUGUCUAAGGAAAUGUAUAAAUAGAACAGGAACUUCUUUAUCACUGAGCUAAUCCAAAGAGGCGCCAGGGCCCUGAAAGAUCCCAAAGACAGGCUCCUUCUUACCCUCCUGUGUGACCACAAGCAACCUUUACCACCAAGAGCGCGGCCCUAGGGAGAUGGCUGCAAAAUCUUUCUGUGUCUCCUCUCCAUAAAAUCUGAUCUGCCGUCCCAAUAAAAAUAAAUCUCCUAAAAAAGAAAGAGGUGAGUACAUAUCUCCCACUGUUCGACUUUUACUCUUCUUCCCAGUUAAGUCUUAUCACUUCCCUCAAGAAGUAAAUGGAAGAAAGAAGGGGGAGUUUAUUUUUUCACUGCUUCCUUAAGACUUCCACUAACACCUGUCGCAGUAUCGUACCUUUCUUCUUUAUUUCCUCUGUUCUUUCUUUGCCCAGAUGACCCUGCACUGCGGUAAUCUUUUCCAUCAAGUCAACUCCACAAAUAUAGUUGGAGAAGUUUACCAGGGAGCGACAAUGACAAGACAUUAUCUUCUGAAAUCAGGUCAGCCGUGAAUGGAGGAUGAAGCCUGGAUUGACCGGCUGCUUAGGACUAUGCUUUACAAACUCAAGUUCAUAAAUGUAUGCUGCAUGUUUCUCCCUCCUUAUGCAUUUGGCAGAACCAUUUUCCUCAGCAACAAUAGUGACAGUUUGUAAUUAUUGAGUGGAAAGAUAUAUCUUCCAAAAUAGUAUUGCUCUGAAAAGGUUAGAAGCCUGCUGUUGCCUGAUCUACAGAGGAAACAAUUAAACAAAACAACAACAA